GAUGCCAAGUGUACAAUAAAAACUGAAAUGAAAAUUGCCAACAGAAGUGUCAUGGUCUUGGUGGAAAAUGCUGUGUUCUUCAUUGACAUCUGUUUAAUAAUGGCUGGUGAUAGAAAACUAUCAGGAAUGCUUCAAGCUGGCAAUGGAGGGAAAUGUAAAAGACACUGAGAUAUCACAAGGUUUCAAAGAUCUAGAAUAUGCUCACAGUCAGUCUUCCAGAUACUCACCUUAAAGGUUCCAGUGUGUUUUAGGAGACUUUGUCAGAACAGUACUUUAUACCUACAUACACUGGAGAUACCAGACCAAGCAGAUAAUUACAGAUAUAUUGACACAGAAUCUGAAAUUAAUUGCAUAU